ACGAACGCUGGCGGCGUGCCUAAUACAUGCAAGUUGAGCGCUGAAGGUUGGUACUUGUACCAACUGGAUGAGCAGCGAACGGGUGAGUAACGCGUGGGGAAUCUGCCUUUGAGCGGGGGACAACAUUUGGAAACGAAUGCUAAUACCGCAUAAAAACUUUAAACACAAGUUUUAAGUUUGAAAGAUGCAAUUGCAUCACUCAAAGAUGAUCCCGCGUUGUAUUAGCUAGUUGGUGAGGUAAAGGCUCACCAAGGCGAUGAUACAUAGCCGACCUGGGAGGGGGAGCGGCCACAUUGGGACUGAGAAACGGCCCAAACUCCGACGGGAGGCAGCAGUAGGGAAUCUUCGGCAAUGGACGAAAGUCUGACCGAGCAACGCCGCGUGAGUGAAGAAGGUCUUCGGAUCGUAAAACUCUGUUGUAAGAGAAGAACACCAGGAAGAGUGGAAAGCUUCCUGGCUGACGGUAUCUUACCAGAAAGCCACGGCUAACUACGUGC
rnacentral:rRNA from 1 species